rnacentral:rRNA from 1 species
UACGAAAGGAGCAAGUGUUAUUCAGAUUAACUGGGCGUAAAGAGCUCGUAGGCGGUUUGUCGCGUCUGCUGUGAAAUCCCAGGGCUUAACCCUGGGCCUGCAGUGGGUACGGGCAAACUAGAGUGCGGUAGGGGAGAUCGGAAUUCCUGGUGUAGCGGUGAAAUGCGUAGAUAUCGAGAGGAACACCUGCGGCGAAGGCGGGUUGCUGGGCUGACACUGACGCUGAGGCGCGAAAGCUAGGGGAGCGAACGGG